rnacentral:rRNA from 1 species
GGAGCGAGCUUACCUGCAGUCGAGCGGGGGAGGUAGCUUGCUACUGGACCUAGCGGCGGACGGCUGAGUAAUGCUUAGGAAUCUGCCUAUUAGUGGGGGACAACAUUCCGAAAGGAAUGCUAAUACCGCAUACGUCCUACGGGAGAAAGCAGGGGACCUUCGGGCCUUGCGCUAAUAGAUGAGCCUAAGUCGGAUUAGCUAGUUGGUGGGGUAAAGGCCUACCAAGGCGACGAUCUGUAGCGGGUCUGAGAGGAUGAUCCGCCACACUGGGACUGAGACACGGCCCACACUCCUACGGGAGGCAGCAGUGGGGAAUAUUGGACAAUGGGGGGAACCCUGAUCCAGCCUUGCCGCGUGUGUGAAAAAGGCCUUAUGGUUGCAAAGCACUUUAAGCGAGGAGGAGGCUACUAGUUUUAAUACUACGGGAUAGGGGACGUUCUUCCCACAAUAAACCCCGGGUAACUCUGUGCCCGUACCCGCCGGAAAUACAAAGGGGGCGAGCGUUAAUCGGAUUUACUGGGCGUAAAAACGUGCCAUAAGGGGGCCCUUUUAAUUCAAAAGUGGAAAUCCCCCCAUUUAACUUUGGGAAUUUGCCUUUCCAUAUUGGGAUGGCCCUCAGUAAUGGGAAGAAGGAGGGAAAAAAUUCCCCGGCGUAACCGGGGAAAUUGCCCUAAAAAUUCUGGAGGAAUAACCCUAGGGCGGAAAGGAGCCCCUUUGGGCCUAAUAUCUGUACCCCCGAGGUACCAAAAAGAUGGGGAGCCAAACCGGAUUAUAAUACCCCGGGUUGUCCCCUUCCCCUAAACUAAAGGCUUAUACCCCCUUGGGGGCUUUUGAGGCUUUAUUGGCGCCCUUCACCCCUAAUAUAAACCCC